rnacentral:rRNA from 1 species
CAGCCGCCGCGGGAAUACCAGCACCUCGAGUGGUCAGGAGGUUUAUUGGGCCUAAAGCAUCCGUAGCCGGUUGCAUAAGUUUUCGGUUAAAUCUAUGCGCUUAACGUAUAGGCCGCCGAAAAUACUGUGCAGCUAGGGAGUGGGAGAGGUACACGGUACUCGAUAGGAAGGGGUAAAAUCCUUUGAUCUAUUGAUGACCACCUGUGGCGAAGGCGGUGUACCAGAACACGUUCGACGGUGAGGGAUGAGAGCUGGGGGAGCAAACCGGAUUAGAUACCCGAGUAGUCCCUGUCUCUUAUAC